AACGAACGCUGGCGGCAUGCCUAACACAUGCAAGUCGAACGAGACCUUCGGGUCUAGUGGCGCACGGGUGCGUAACGCGUGGGAACCUGCCCUUAGGUUCGGAAUAACUCCCCGAAAGGGGUGCUAAUACCGGAUAAUGUCUUCGGACCAAAGAUUUAUCGCCUUUGGAUGGGCCCGCGUUGGAUUAGCUAGUUGGUAGGGUAAAAGCCUACCAAGGCGACGAUCCAUAGCUGGUCUGAGAGGAUGAUCAGCCACACUGGGACUGAGACACGGCCCAGACCCCUACGGGAGGCAGCAGGGGGAAUUAUGGGACAAGGGGCAAAGGCCUAACCCACCAAUGCCGGGUGAGGAAUGAAGCCCUUGGGGUUGAAAAGCUCUUUUACCCGGGGUGAUAAUGAAAGUCCCGGGAGAAAAAGCCCCGGCAAACCCCGU
rnacentral:rRNA from 1 species